ensembl:lncRNA
AUGUCGUCGAAGAAAAAAAGGCUUGGUUCACGCCGCCGUGCGCCAAAUCAAAAUGAAACGUUUAAUACCGACGUUACCGACAGUACCUCUGUAGCUCAAUGCCACAUUCCUGAAGAAACUGAAUCAUUAAAUGAAACGGCUAAUUCACACAAAGCACAACGUGAAACCCAACGGUCGCCUUCUCCUGAUCCUUUGGGGAACACAAGGAAAUUGGGCUCUAGUCAAAGGCACAGAGUGAAAAAUGUUCAGGAGUCUGUGACUGAUUCACACCAGAACUCUGAAUCCACAGAGGAAGUAGAGCAUUCAAGCAGGGGGGCCGCUCUACAGCCUGAGAGGCAGGCAGACGUGUUACUGGAUUCUGCUUCUGGGGCUCAGCAUGCUAUUGUAACAAACCGCCCGGAGGUGGACCUGGAAAGUUUCAUUUCCAUAGGUGAAAACGAAACGCAAAAAUCAGACAUCAGUCACUCUAAGGAAGUCAAAGAAAAUGUAGGUGUUGGCGUCUCUGAGUUGGCGAGUGAUGUGACGUGUCAAACAGAUCAGCAACUGAUUGACUCAUCAAGUGGCAAGAAAAUACCAGAAGAAAAACUUCCCAAUGUGUGUUCUGUAACAGAAGAGCAAAGAGAUGACAACACAGAGAUGUUCAUUUCUAGCACAACGGAGAUCACCAAAGAAAGCAUCCAUACAGCAGAAAACACUGCAAAUGAAUGCAGUCUUCAAGGAACAAUUUCAUCACCUAAAGUGGAAAUGCCUGCAGAGGUGGAACAAAAUGAGUAUUUACAUUUAUCUGAAGUUGCACAGGCUCAUUUAGAAGACGCUGUAAACAAAGGGCAUGAAAAUGAGAUUAAGCUAAUGGGUAUGCAUGAGAUCGCUUACUCGUCUGAAAGUGUGGUCCAUGAUGGCAAAAGUGACAAUGAUCAUGUUUAUGAUACCCGCAAACCUCAGAGCAGCGACAUAGAGAGAGAUGACCCUGCGCUCAGACAGGUAUUUGAGGUUGAAGGCACAGUGGAGGAACAGGAUGUUGAGCCAAAUGAGGGACAAGACAACUUACCUAAAGUCACAGCUGGUGAUCAUUCAGAGGCUGCUGUAAACAAACUGCAGCCAACAGAAAAUCAAGAAAAGCCUCAAAUUGAUUUCUCGCCUGAGAAUGUGACUCAUGAUGCCAUAGACAAGUCUGAAAUUAUUUCCGGAAAGACGAUGGACCAAACUGAAGUCAGUGACACAUACCAAUAUGAGAUGAAAGUGACAAAUGCUCUUGAUUCUCCAAUCAACAGGGACAAUUCAAACUCAGACAACACACAGGAAGAACAUCCAAAAAAGGAAAAUAUUUUUGAGACGUCAGAUCAGAGAAAUGAGGAUUAUGAUGUUUGUGAUAUCAAGAAAACACAAAUCAGCGACACAGACAGAGUGGACACUUUUCACGUAUUUGAGGGUGAUACAAACCCCAGUGAUGAGCAAACAGGUUAUCAGGAGAACGAAGAACUCCUGGAGGAGAGAAUAUCUUCUCUACAAACCCUGCAAUCAGAAAUCAACGUUCCUUUUUACCCCCAACUUCAGCAAAACGCCAACAGCUUCCAAUCCACUGGACACCGAAGAAAAAUGGGGUUUAGCCGUAAAAGCAAACGAAGACCUCAUGUCAAAGACUCUGGUGCUGAAUCAGACCAGGAACCU